GAUGAACGCUGGCGGCGUGCCUAAUACAUGCAAGUCGAACGCACCACUUCGGUGCAGAGUGGCGUACGGGUGGGUACUAACUAAGUAAUCUGGCAUCUACAGGGUGAUUACUGGUGGAAACGAAAGCUAAGAACGCAUAGGUGUAGAGAUCGAAUAAACUCUAUAUGAAAAGUGCUAAGGGACUGGCAGAUUUUGGACUUCUGAUGCAUUAGCUAGUUGGUAGGGUAACGGCUUAUCAAGGCACCGAUUCAUAGCCGACCUGAGAGGGUGAGCGGCCACACUGGAACUGAGACACGGCCCAGACUCCUACGGGAGGCAGCAGUAGGGAAUUUUCGGCAAUGGGGGGAAGCCUGACCGAGCAACGCCGCGUGAAGGAUGAAGGAAUUCGUUACGUAAAAUUCUGUCAUAGGGGAAGAACGGUUGUGAAAGGGAAUGAGAACCAAGUGACGGUACUCUAUAAGAAAGCCACGGCUAACUACGUG
rnacentral:rRNA from 1 species